GAUGAACGCUGGCGGUAUGCUUAACACAUGCAAGUCGAACGGACUCUUCGGAGUUAGUGGCGGACGGGUGAGUAACGCGUGAGAAUCUGGCUUUGGGUUCGGGACAACCACUGGAAACGGUGGCUAAUACCGGAUGUGCCGAGAGGUAAAAGAGAAAUUGCCUGAAGAUGAGCUCGCGUCUGAUUAGCUAGUUGGUGAGGUAAAGGCUCACCAAGGCAGCGAUCAGUAGCUGGUCUGAGAGGAUGACCAGCCACACUGGGACUGAGACACGGCCCAGACUCCUACAGGAGGCAGCAGUGGGGAAUUUUCCGCAAUGGGCGAAAGCCUGACGGAGCAAUACCGCGUGAGGGAAGAAGGCUCUUGGGUUGUAAACCUCUUUUCUUAGGGAAGAACAAAAUGACGGUACCUAAGGAAUCAGCAUCGGCUAACUCCGUG
rnacentral:rRNA from 1 species